rnacentral:rRNA from 1 species
UACGAAGGGGGCGAGCGUUGUUCGGAUUUACUGGGCGUAAGGGGCGCGCAGGCGGUCUUGAAAGUCAGGCGUGAAAGCCCCGGGCUUAACCUGGGAAUUGCGCUUGAUACUCUGAGACUGGAGUACGGGAGAGGAGAGUGGAAUUCCCAGUGUAGAGGUGAAAUUCGUAGAUAUUGGGAAGAACACCAGUGGCGAAGGCGGCUCUCUGGACCGUAACUGACGCUGAGGCGCGAAAGCGUGGGGAGCAAACAGG